GAACCGCAUCGACGGAACAGCAGAUAAAAGCGGUCCCCACCCAGCUCCGGCCUCUUAUAUAUACAUGCCAGGAAACCCUUGCAAAUCAGAUGACAAUAUAUAAACAAUGACGCCGGCGAAAUCCUCCGGCACGACGGCGAUCGGCCAGCCCCUCCUUCCCCAGCCACCUCAAUACGUCAUCGUCGCACCUCCCUACCCCAUCCCCUACCGCAGCCACCACCGGCGCCGCCGCGACUCGUGCAGUUCGUGCCGCCUCAUCUGCAUCGCCUCCACGCUCUUCGUCCUCGCCGCCGCUGUCUACCUUCUCUGGCCGUCGGAUCCGGAGCUCUCCGUCGUCCGCCUUAACCUCGAUCGCCUCCACUUCCGCACCUCUCCAGCGCUCUCGCUCGACAUAACCCUAGAUCUGACGGUCAAAGUGCGGAACAGGGAUUUCUACUCCCUCGAUUACGACUCCCUGCGCGUUGCCAUCGGAUACAGAGGGGAGAGGCUAGGGUCUGUGAAAUCAGCUGGGGGGCACAUCAACGCACGAGGCUCGUCGUACGUCAACGCCACGCUCCGGCUUGACGCCGUGGAGGUUUUGACUAGUGCCAUAUUUUUACUGGAGGAUUUGGUUCGAGGCUCGAUUACGUUUGACACGGAUACUGAGAUUAGUGGAGAGCUCGGCCUUUUCUUCGUUGACCUUCCUCUCAAGACAAAAGUAUCAUGUGAAAUCAUCGUUAACACAAGCAAUCAUACAGUUACUCACCAAAAUUGCUACCCAGAGAGAUAAUUAUAAAAGGGUGCUUGGUAUGAGUGUUUGAACUUUGGAACCACAAUGUUUCUACCUGAACCCAACAACCUCAGCCGUUUCCUACCUUUUUUCCUUACCAUUCCCUUCAUAUGAAAUAAAGUGAUGAAUGGAUUGGUUCUGCACGGAUGCAAGGAAACCGAGAUGAAGGCAAUUUCUCCAGCAUCUAUGAUAACCAAAAUAGAAAGAAAUUAUGUAAAUAUUCCAACUAUAUCUUCAUGUAAGUAUCUGAUCCCAUCAUAAUGCAUAGAUCAGCAUUCAUAUCCCUGUCGAUUUCCUUUGGAUUAAAGAAACUAAUCUGACUCAUCCACGAGCUAAUUUAUAUGUACAGAGCUACUAUUGUUGCAAGAUCUAUUAAAUCAUAUUGUCCCUUUCUUCUUGGACAA